UUUGCUGGAGAUCCCUGUGUACCUGAGGCCUUCUAAAGGACGUUCUCAAUAUAAAAGAAAAAGAAUAUCCUUUUUGGACUACCACCAAAGAGUAGGAGGAAGAACUUGAGAAAUACAGAGUGCUAUUUCUUUGGAGAUGCUCAGCUACAGUACGGUGCUGUCUUCCAAAAUGGGAUCUGAACACAAGAUAUGAACGCACAAAGGAAGAUAUAGGGAUCUGGCAGUGUGCCCCACUUCUUGGAAAAAGCAUCUUCAAAGCUACAUAGGUGAAACUGCACUGAAAAAAUAUCAAGUGGAAAAUUAACCUCAUAUAAACAACCAUGCUAGGAAUAAAAAUAAAAAUAUUAAAUGCUCUGCGUGUACAGAAAGGCAGCUUGGAUACUGGCCUGCACCAUUCAGUGUUCUCAGCAAAGACUAAUGUUGCAUUACAAUGAAUGUCACUUUAAUGAGGCAGAAAAAAUUGGUCCGAAGACAGCCUGCUGAAUUCAAUCACCUGCUUCACUUGACAUGAGAAACUAGUCACAGGACAUGCCAUACACAGCCCCAGCAGUGACAGUGCUCCCUGUAACAAUAUGAAGUUGCAAAAGAUUUCAACCUGUGAACUACUUCUACAGAUGAACAGAUCAUGUUUUAACAUGAACAAGCUCUAUUUGCUUUAUUGGGAAAAACAUGAAAUUGUGUUUAUCACCAUCAUCCUUGCCUUUUGGAAGGAGAAGAAGCCAGGCAAAUUUCUUGGGGAAAAUCUUGUGCGAGGCUUACCCUCCAGGACUACAUUAAAAAGCAAACAAAACCCAGUACGCUGCAAUUUGAGGACAGGACUCAAAGAAUUCAUAAAAGAAAUGAAAAUUGUCUUGAUUCAAUUUAUUUCUGAAUUCAGUGUAUCCUUUUAAGACCAGUAUUGGUCAUAGAUAUAUUCUGGUUAUAGCCAAGGUUUUACCCUAAUAAUUAUCAAUCAUAUAUAGCAGCUUAAAUCUGUACCUUUUUCCAGUAAAGCUGUAACCAUGUAUACAGCAAAAGAAGAAAUUGCAAUAGGAGCAACAGAAAUCUGUCACUGUAGCAGUGUAGGUGGCUCUUAAUUCUAACAAAAAUGCCAUGUGUUAUGACGUACAGGUGUAAACUAUGCCACUGUACAGAUGAAUAAAGUCAAUAUAUUACUGAU
ensembl:lncRNA